rnacentral:rRNA from 1 species
ACCAGACUCCUACGGGAGGCAGCAGUGGGGGAUAUUGCACAAUGGGGGAAACCCUGAUGCAGCGACGCCGCGUGGGUGAAGAAGUAUUUCGGUAUGUAAAGCCCUAUCAGCAGGGAAGAAAGAAGACGGUACCUGACUAAGAAGCCCCGGCUAACUACGUGCCAGCAGCCGCGGUAAUACGUAGGGGGCGAGCGUUAUCCGGAUUCACUGGGUGUAAAGGGAGCGUAGACGGCCGUGCAAGCCAGGAGUGAAAGCCCGGGGCCCAACCCCGGGACUGCUCUUGGAACUGUGCGGCUGGAGUGCGGGAGGGGCAGGCGGAAUUCCUGGUGUAGCGGUGAAAUGCGUAGAUAUCAGGAGGAACACCGGCGGCGAAGGCGGCCUGCUGGACCGCGACUGACGUUGAGGCCCGAAAGCGUGGGGAGCAAACAGGAUUAGAUACCCUCGUACA